rnacentral:rRNA from 1 species
GCUUACGGCCAUACCACCCUGAGCGCGCCCGAUCCUCGUCUGAUCUCGGAAGCUAAGCAGGGGUCGGGCCUGGGUUAGUACUUCUCGGAGACCGCCUGGGAAUACCAGGUGCUGUAAGCU